rnacentral:ribozyme from 15 species
AUAUAUAUAUAGAGAGAGAGAGAGAGAGAGAAAGAGAGAAAGAAAGAGAGAAAGAGAGAAACAAAAAUGAAUAUGCUAGUUUCUUAAGCCACCAUG